rnacentral:rRNA from 1 species
GUUACAGGGCAAUGUAGUGUUUGGGAGAGCCCGUUUAACCUAAGCAAUAUAUAAAUGAGUUCAAGUCCUUCUUGAAGGGGGCCAUUUUCCCAUAGAGGGUGCUAGGCCCGUAGUAACCAUUUAUAUGUUUAAGUGGGUUUCUCCUUAAAGUCGGGUUGCUUGAGAGUGCAGCUCUAAGUGGGUGGUAAACUCCAUCUAAGGCUAAAUAUGACUACGAAACCGAUAGCGAACAAGUACCGUGAGGGAAAGUUGAAAAGAACUUUGCAGAGAGAGUUCAAGAGUACGUGAAACUGUUCAGGGGUAAACCUGUAAUACCCAAAUAGUUCAAAUGAGGUGAUUCAAUUGUCUAUCCGGUUAUAACCAUUUUUCAGUGUAUAGACAUUUAUAAAUCAUUUACGAUUCAUUUCGUAUUUGUUAUAUUAUAUAUGC